GCAUCUGCAAAAUCAGAUGUCAGGAUUGACCUCCUGCCAGAUACAACCGCGACAGACUGACACGCCGCGAGCGUGUUUUUU
rnacentral:sRNA from 1 species